rnacentral:rRNA from 1 species
UGCAACGCGAAGAACCUUACCAGGUCUUGACAUCUGCGAGAACCUACUACGAAGUAGGGGUGCUCGGAGCUGCAAGACAGGUGGUGGCAUGGUUGUCGUCAGCUCGUGUCGUGAGAUGUUGGGUUAAGUCCCGCAACGAGCGCAACCCUUGCUAUUAGUUGCUAACAUGAAAGAUGAGCACUCUAAUGGGACUGCCCGUGACAAGCGGGAGGAAGGUGGGGAUGACGUCAAAUCAUCAUGCCCUUUAUGAUCUGGGCUACACACGUGCUACAAUGGAUGGUACAGAGAGCAGCGAGACCGCGAGGUGGAGCGAAUCUCAAAAAGCCAUUCUCAGUUCGGAUUGGAGUCUGCAACUCGACUCCAUGAAGUCGGAAUCGCUAGUAAUCGCGAAUCAGCACGUCGCGGUGAAUGCGUUCCCGGGCCUU